rnacentral:rRNA from 1 species
GACGAACGCUGGCGGCGUGCCUAAUACAUGCAAGUUGAGCGCUGAAGGUUGGUACUUGUACCAACUGGAUGAGCAGCGAACGGGUGAGUAACGCGUGGGGAAUCUGCCUUUGAGCGGGGGACAACAUUUGGAAACGAAUGCUAAUACCGCAUAAAAACUUUAAACACAAGUUUUAAGUUUGAAAGAUGCAAUUGCAUCACUCAAAGAUGAUCCCGCGUUGUAUUAGCUAGUUGGUGAGGUAAAGGCUCACCAAGGCGAUGAUACAUAGCCGACCUGAGAGGGUGAUCGGCCACAUUGGGACUGAGACACGGCCCAAACUCCUACGGGAGGCAGCAGUAGGGAAUCUUCGGCAAUGGACGAAAGUCUGACCGAGCAACGCCGCGUGAGUGAAGAAGGGUUUCGGAUCGUAAAACUCUGUUGGUAGAGAAGAACGUUGGUGAGAGUGGAAAGCUCAUCAAGUGACGAUAACUACCCAGAAAGGGACGGCUAACUACGUG